GGCCCUGUGGGGUAGUUUGGUAUCCUUGUAGCUUUGGGAGCCAUAGACUCCGGUUCAAAUCCGGGCGGGGCCACCA
rnacentral:tRNA from 3 species